GCCUGGACGGUCGCCCACACCCAUAACAGAGAGGCGAGAGCUUUAACAGAGCGCUGUUAAGCUGUAACAGUCGGUGCAAAUGCAAAGAGCGCCAAAGUCGCUGCGCUGUCGCAGCUGACUGCGAGCUGCGACGUCGACUGUGGCAGCGGCAGCAGCUGUUUGGGGCCAAGCGAAAAAGUUUUUUUCGAGCACUUCGGUUCAGUUUGGACUUGCCUUUGACCGCGUGCGGACGGCGAUGCCAGCGAGUUGUUGUUUUGUCGGCUUCCACUGACACUCUGUGCAGUGUCUCUCUGUCUGUGUGUGUGAGUGCGUGUGCCUGUGCGUUUGUCUCCCCUACGUUUAUCUCUUGCAUGAGUGCGGGCGCCACUCUCUGCGUGUGUGUGUGUGUGUGUGGGGUACCCGCAGCGACUGCGACGGCGACGGCGACAGCGGCAGAGACAGCGACAGCGAUAUACCAACAGCAACAGUAACACCAACACCAACAGCUACAGAGACGGCUACACCAAUACCAAUGCGAGCCAGCAACAGCGGCAGCGCCGCAUUCGUGUGUAUCUUCUUGUUGUCUGUUUGUCGUAUAAAUUGAGCCGCACUUUGCUUAUUCUCGAGUUUUUGCCGCUCAGACGUCGUCGUUGUAACUGCAAGCGCUGCGCAGCGAACGCGUCGCGUUUUAUCAAAAACAAAAAAGAAAAUAACAAAAUACAAAGAACAUAUAGUACUUUCGAAACUGUAUUGGCCAUAUAAAACAAAAUAAAAUAAAAAAGAAGCAAAAUCAUGAAACGCUAAAAAGUAAGCAAUUCCUUCAAUGAAAAAUAAAAUGUAUCUGAAAUAUAUAUGUACGUAGCUGAAAGAUACAAGUGCAACACAGAAAACACCCAGCACAAAAAAUAUUUCAAAGCGAAAAAUUGUUUUAUUUUUAGAACGAAAUACGAAAUAUACGUUGAACUGAGAGUUUCCCCCAGAAAAUGAAAUAAAUAUUUGAGAAUUCAUUAAAUCUGUU